rnacentral:misc_RNA from 1 species
GAUGAAGAACGCAGCGAAAUGCGAUACGUAGUGUGAAUUGCAGAAUUCCGUGAAUCAUCGAAUCUUUGAACGCACAUUGCGCCCGCCAGUAUUCUGGCGGGCAUGCCUGUCUGAGCGUCAUUUCAACCCUCAUGCCCCUAGGGCGUGGUGUUGGGGAUCGGCCAAAGCCCGCGAGGGACGGCCGGCCCCUAAAUCUAGUGGCGGACCCGUCGUGGCCUCCUCUGCGAAGUAGUGAUAUUCCGCAUCGGAGAGCGAUGAGCCCCUGCCGUUAAACCCCCAACUUUCCAAGGUUGACCUCAGAUCAGGUAGGAAUACCCGCUGAACUUAAGCAUAUCAAUAAGCGGAGGA